AGUGGCGGACGGGUGAGUAACGCGUGGGUAACCUGCCUCACACUGGGGGAGUAACAGUUAGAAAUAGCUGCUAAUACCGCAUAAGCGCACAGUUCCGCAUGGAACAGUGUGAAAAACUCCGGUGGUGUGAGAUGGACCCGCGUCUGAUUAGCCAGUUGGCGGGGUAACGGCCCACCAAAGCGACGAUCAGUAGCCGGCCUGAGAGGGUGAACGGCCACAUUGGGACUGAGACACGGCCCAAACUCCUACGGGAGGCAGCAUG
rnacentral:rRNA from 1 species